UUUGUUUUGUCCGUUUCAUUCCAAAUGAAGAGAAGAGUUUAUGUACAGCUUCUACAGGAUUCUACGGAUUUGAUACUCAUUUUCUCUCUGCUAGUUUCUCAUCUCUGUUUGUCAAGGAGAUUUCGUGUGUCUUGAUUCUGUGAUUCUUCGAUUCAUCAGGUAAUUUUCUUUUCAAACUAAAUCAAAAUCCACUUCUUCCUUCGUCAUGGGACGCAAAGCCCAAGCUUCGACCUCCUCCAAUCGAAAUCUGUGGGUAUGCGCAGCGUAGUACGCAUUUAUGGUUGGGGUAAAUCUUGGCUCUUUUGUCUUUUAAGGUGGGGAAUUGUUGCAGAUAUGUACAUUGGUGAGAAUUCUGAUGGUGAAUUAGGAAGCACAUAUAUGUUCCAAGGACUACAGUCUACAGCUCCGUUCAAAAUUCACUGUCUCCCCCUACAGCGAUGUCGUCGUGUUAUGCUUUCGAAGCUCUUAUUUAAUUAAUAUGUGUAUAGCUAAUUGAGGAAUCAAGAAAUAUAGUUUCGGAGUCUCGGAUCGUGAAUUAAAUGUUCGGAUUGAUGUUGAGGCUUUGCUUAAUUGUUUGUUUUCAGAUCAUGCUUUCUAUGAUAUUGGGGAUGUCUCAGCACCAGAAAGGCAGUGUACGGACAAUUUAUCUCAGAUGUUACUAGACCUUGAAAAUGCUCUUGUGGAGAAGAAGAUGCCAAAAGAGAAUUGGCUCUAAUUUAAUAGAUUAUACAAGGUUGGUAUCGGCUUAGAUUGAUGUAAUUUGUCAUUGGGGUAUCAAAUCCCAGAUGAAUUGGUAUGAAUGUUGAUUACAAUAGUCUAAAUGUUUCUAUAACUACCGCAUAAUUGCCAUGUGCAAUGGUGCUAAGCUUGUUAUCUUGUUUGAGAAUCGAGAUUAGUGAAGGCAUAUUCUAAUGGUAUUUGAAAAGUAAGGCCUCCAAAUACAUGUAUUUGCCUUUGUUAUAUGUGCAAUCUACCAUCCCUUCC
rnacentral:lncRNA from 1 species